rnacentral:lncRNA from 1 species
GCAGGGAUUGCCCCCACCAAGCCCCAGAGCUGGGAGUGGGCAGGACGGGGCAGCGCCAGGGAGGGCAGGACAGAAACCUGGCGUUGGUGAGAUUUUGUGGCUGAUCCCACAGCUUCUUGGGCAGAUCUGGGGCCUUCUGUGCCAGAGUUUGUGGAAUCUCACACAGGCAAGAGUUUUAAGCCAGUAAAUACAGGACAUCGGCAUCAGAGACUCAGAACUGGGCUCCUGGAAGAGGCACCACAGGAUGGAAGCAGGAAGCCAAGUGCACGGCAGACCACGCCGCAUCGCGUUCCCGGCAGGCCACUCUUUAAACCCGAUCUGUUCUUUUCCAGGCCUUAGCUAAACCAGGCCACCUAAAUACCUGUCAUUAUCUGUGAUGAUUUCGCAUUAAUUGGGGUUUUUGUCCCUUCUGUUCCUUUUCUUAAAGGCUGGCUUCUUAAACACU